AUGGAUACGAUGGACCAGAUGAUUGCAAUGUAUAGUUGCAGAAGAAAGACGAGACGUUGGCCACUAGUGGUGUUUUUUAAUAUGUUGGACAUCAGUGCCCUCAACGCAUACAUCGUCUGGACGGCCAUUGACCCUACAUGGAAUGUCAGAAAAUCCUGCAGACGAAGGCUGUUCCUGGAUCAGCUUGGGAAAAUGCUGGUCAUGCCAGAGAGAGUAGGCGACAUACCUGACGCUUUUGACUUAUUUCUGAACGAAGAAGAAAUGACGCAAGUCAUAACCAGGUACACCAACCUGCAUGGGAGAAGGACGGUCCGGGGGUGGAAGGACCUUGACGCCACAACGAUUCGCGCGUACUUCGGACUCCUCCUCCUGGCCGGCGUCUAUCGGUCCCGGGGAGAAGCGACGCGCAGCCUCUGGGGCGGCGAGACAGGUCGCCACAUUUUUCGGGUGACCAUGCCCAGAAAAACCUUUGAAAUUAUUUCUAGAUCGCUGUGCUUUGACGACCGUCUCUCCAGACCACGGCGUCGGGAUGAUAAGCUGGCCGCGAUCCGAGACAUGUGGGACCAGUGGACUGACCGGCUCCCACAGAUAUUUAACCCCGGAGCAGACAUUUGCGUCGACGAGCAACUGGUGGCGUAUCGUGGGCGAUGCAACUUUCGGCAGUACAUGCCGAAGAAGCCAGGGAGGUACGGCGUCAAAAUUUGGGCAACCUGCGAUGUAGUAACGUCCUAUGUCUGGAGAGUUUCGGUUACACCGGCCGAUCAGCCCGUGCGCCUCCAUAAAAACAACAGGGACAGUGAGUUGUGCUGGAGAUGACGGAGGGGCUAACAGGUGUCACUGUCACAUGUGACAACUUUUUCUCCUCCUACGGGCUGGCAGAGCAGUUGCUCAAAAGAAAGAUCGCCAUGGUUGGCACAAUAAGGAAGAACAAGCCAGAACUUCCACUUGAGCUCCUGAAGGUCCGGGGGGAGAGAGUCGCUCUCAUUAAUGUUCGCUUUUACAGAAACGCAUACCCUGGUGUCGUAUGUACCAAAGCGGGGAAAGAAUGUGCUUCUCCUCAGCACAAAGCACCGGGAGCCGGAGAUCAGCAGCGGGGGUAAGAUGAAGCCCCAGAUCAUCCUUGAUUACAGCCGCUGCAAAUGAGCCGUGGAUACGAUGGACCAGGUAAAUUUACACAUUCUAGGCUGAGGUUUCAGCAUAUCUUUUAUAUAAAAUAUAGUUCAAUAUCUGUGUCCCUGGUCCUUUUUUGUUUUGCAGAUGAUUGCAAUGUAUAGUUGCAGAAGAAAGACGAGACGUUGGCCACUAGUGGUGUUUUUUAAUAUGUUGGACAUCAGUGCCCUCAACGCAUACAUCGUCUGGACGGCCAUUGACCCUACAUGGAAUGUCAGAAAAUCCUGCAGACGAAGGCUGUUCCUGGAUCAGCUUGGGAAAAUGCUGGUCAUGCCAGAGAGAGUAGGCGACAUACCUGACGCUUUUGACUUAUUUCUGAACGAAGAAAUGACGCAAGUCAUAACCAGGUACACCAACCUGCAUGGGAGAAGGACGGUCCGGGGGUGGAAGGACCUUGACGCCACAACGAUUCGCGCGUACUUCGGACUCCUCCUCCUGGCCGGCGGUCUAUCGGUCCCGGGGAAGAAGCGACGCGCAGCCUCUGGGGCGGCGAGACAGGUCGCCACAUUUUUCGGGUGACCAUGCCCAGAAAAACCUUUGAAAUUAUUUCUAGAUCGCUGUGCUUUGACGACCGUCUCUCCAGACCACGGCGUCGGGAUGAUAAGCUGGCCGCGAUCCGAGACAUGUGGGACCAGUGGACUGACCGGCUCCCACAGAUAUUUAACCCCGGAGCAGACAUUUGCGUCGACGAGCAACUGGUGGCGUAUCGUGGGCGAUUGCAACUUUCGGCAGUACAUGCCGAAGAAGCCAGGGAGGUACGGCGUCAAAAUUUGGGCAACCUGCGAUGUAGUAACGUCCUAUGUCUGGAGAGUUUCGGUCUACACCGGCCGAUCAGCCCGUGCGCCUCCAUAAAAACAACAGGGACAGUGAGUUGUGCUGGAGAUGACGGAGGGGCUAACAGGUGUCACUGUCACAUGUGACAACUUUUUCUCCUCCUACGGGCUGGCAGAGCAGUUGCUCAAAAGAAAGAUCGCCAUGGUCGGCACAAUAAGGAAGAACAAGCCAGAACUUCCACUUGAGCUCCUGAAGGUCCGGGGGAGAGAGUCGCUCUCAUUAAUGUUCGCUUUUACAGCAACGCAUACCCUGGUGUCGUAUGUACCAAAGCGGGGAAAGAAUGUGCUUCUCCUCAGCACAAAGCACCGGGAGCCGGAGAUCAGCAGCGGGGGUAAGAUGAAGCCCCAGAUCAUCCUUGAUUACAGCCGCUGCAAAUGAGCCGUGGAUACGAUGGACCAGGUAAAUUUACACAUUCUAGGCUGAGGUUUCAGCAUAUCUUUUAUAUAAAAUAUAGUUCAAUAUCUGUGUCCCUGGUCCUUUUUUGUUUUGCAGAUGAUUGCAAUGUAUAGUUGCAGAAGAAAGACGAGACGUUGGCCACUAGUGGUAUUUUUUAAUAUGUUGGACAUCAGUGCCCUCAACGCAUACAUCGUCUGGACGGCCAUUGACCCUACAUGGAAUGUCAGAAAAUCCUGCAGACGAAGGCUGUUCCUGGAUCAGCUUGGGAAAAUGCUGGUCAUGCCAGAGAGAGUAGGCGACAUACCUGACGCUUUUGACUUAUUUCUGAACGAAGAAAUGACGCAAGUCAUAACCAGGUACACCAACCUGCAUGGGAGAAGGACGGUCCAGGGGUGGAAGGACCUUGACGCCACAACGAUUCGCGCGUACUUCGGACUCCUCCUCCUGGCCGGCGUCUAUCGGUCCCGGGGAGAAGCGACGCGCAGCCUCUGGGGCGGCGAGACAGGUCGCCACAUUUUUCGGGUGACCAUGCCCAGAAAAACCUUUGAAAUUAUUUCUAGAUCGCUGUACUUUGACGACCGUCUCUCCAGACCACGGCGUCGGGAUGAUAAGCUGGCCGCGAUCCGAGACAUGUGGGACCAGUGGACUGACCGGCUCCCACAGAUAUUUAACCCCGGAGCAGACAUUUGCGUCGACGAGCAACUGGUGGCGUAUCGUGGGCGAUGCAACUUUCGGCAGUACAUGCCGAAGAAGCCAGGGAGGUACGGCGUCAAAAUUUGGGCAACCUGCGAUGUAGUAACGUCCUAUGUCUGGAGAGUUUCGGUCUACACCGGCCGAUCAGCCCGUGCGCCUCCAUAAAAACAACAGGGACAGUGAGUUGUGCUGGAGAUGACGGAGGGGCUAACAGGUGUCACUGUCACAUGUGACAACUUUUUCUCCUCCUACGGGCUGGCAGAGCAGUUGCUCAAAAGAAAGAUCGCCAUGGUCGGCACAAUAAGGAAGAACAAGCCAGAACUUCCACUUGAGCUCCUGAAGGUCCGGGGGAGAGAGUCGCUCUCAUUAAUGUUCGCUUUUACAGCAACGCAUACCCUGGUGUCGUAUGUACCAAAGCGGGGAAAGAAUGUGCUUCUCCUCAGCACAAAGCACCGGGAGCCGGAGAUCAGCAGCGGGGGUAAGAUGAAGCCCCAGAUCAUCCUUGAUUACAGCCGCUGCAAAUGAGCCAUGGAUACGAUGGACCAGGUAAAUUUACACAUUCUAGGCUGAGGUUUCAGCAUAUCUUUUAUAUAAAAUAUAGUUCAAUAUCUGUGUCCCUGGUCCUUUUUUGUUUUGCAGAUGAUUGCAAUGUAUAGUUGCAGAAGAAAGACGAGACGUUGGCCACUAGUGGUGUUUUUUAAUAUGUUGGACAUCAGUGCCCUCAACGCAUACAUCGUCUGGACGGCCAUUGACCCUACAUGGAAUGUCAGAAAAUCCUGCAGACGAAGGCUGUUCCUGGAUCAGCUUGGGAAAAUGCUGGUCAUGCCAGAGAUGACCCGCAGACAGCGCCUCCCACAGAAUCCAGCUGCCGUCAGCCUCAUCGCACAAGUCCGCAGAAGCUCAGGUGACCUCACCGUGGAGCCGACCAACCCCCCACCAACAGCCACCAACAACACAGACACUUUCUCAGGCAGGAGGCAGUGUGCUCUCUGCCCCACACGCAAAGUCUGCACCUUCAAAUGCAAAAAAUGUGGAAAAGGAGAUUGUAAGGCACAUUUCAGUGCAGUUUGCGCAUCCUGCAUCCCCUGAACUUCAUGUUGUUGUUGUAAUUGUUAACUUUUGUGUUAAAAAAAAAAUAAAAAUCUACAAC
ensembl:lncRNA